GGGACACGUGGUAUCCUGUCUGAAUAUGGGGGGACCAUCCUCCAAGGCUAAAUACUCCUGACUGACCGAUAGUGAACCAGUACCGUGAGGGAAAGGCGAAAAGAACCCCGGCGAGGGGAGUGAAAAAGAACCUGAAACCGUGUACGUACAAGCAGUGGGAGCCUCUUAAUGGGGUGACUGCGUACCUUUUGUAUAAUGGGUCAGCGACUUAUAUUCUGUAGCAAGGUUAACCGAAUAGGGGAGCCGAAGGGAAACCGAGUCUUAACUGGGCGUUAAGUUGCAGGGUAUAGACCCGAAACCCGGUGAUCUAGCCAUGGGCAGGUUGAAGGUUGGGUAACACUAACUGGAGGACCGAACCGACUAAUGUUGAAAAAUUAGCGGAUGACUUGUGGCUGGGGGUGAAAGGCCAAUCAAACCGGGAGAUAGCUGGUUCUCCCCGAAAGCUAUUUAGGUAGCGCCUCGUGAAUUCAUCUCCGGGGGUAGAGCACUGUUUCGGCAAGGGGGUCAUCCCGACUUACCAACCCGAUGCAAACUGCGAAUACCGGAGAAUGUUAUCACGGGAGACACACGGCGGGUGCUAACGUCCGUCGUGAAGAGGGAAACAACCCAGACCGCCAGCUAAGGUCCCAAAGUCAUGGUUAAGUGGGAAACGAUGUGGGAAGGCCCAGACAGCCAGGAUGUUGGCUUAGAAGCAGCCAUCAUUUAAAGAAAGCGUAAUAGCUCACUGGUCGAGUCGGCCUGCGCGGAAGAUGUAACGGGGCUAAACCAUGCACCGAAGCUGCGGCAGCGACACUAUGUGUUGUUGGGUAGGGGAGCGUUCUGUAAGCCUGUGAAGGUGUACUGUGAGGUAUGCUGGAGGUAUCAGAAGUGCGAAUGCUGACAUAAGUAACGAUAAAGCGGGUGAAAAGCCCGCUCGCCGGAAGACCAAGGGUUCCUGUCCAACGUUAAUCGGGGCAGGGUGAGUCGACCCCUAAGGCGAGGCCGAAAGGCGUAGUCGAUGGGAAACAGGUUAAUAUUCCUGUACUUGGUGUUACUGCGAAGGGGGGACGGAGAAGGCUAUGUUGGCCGGGCGACGGUUGUCCCGGUUUAAGCGUGUAGGCUGGUUUUCCAGGCAAAUCCGGAAAACCAAGGCUGAGGCGUGAUGACGAGGCACUACGGUGCUGAAGCGACAAAUGCCCUGCUUCCAGGAAAAGCCUCUAAGCAUCAGGUAACAUUAAAUCGUACCCCAAACCGACACAGGUGGUCAGGUAGAGAAUACCAAGGCGCUUGAGAGAACUCGGGUGAAGGAACUAGGCAAAAUGGUGCCGUAACUUCGGGAGAAGGCACGCUGAUAUGUAGGUGAAGCGACUUGCUCGUGGAGCUGAAAUCAGUCGAAGAUACCAGCUGGCUGCAACUGUUUAUUAAAAACACAGCACUGUGCAAACACGAAAGUGGACGUAUACGGUGUGACGCCUGCCCGGUGCCGGAAGGUUAAUUGAUGGGGUUAGCGGUAACGCGAAGCUCUUGAUCGAAGCCCCGGUAAACGGCGGCCGUAACUAUAACGGUCCUAAGGUAGCGAAAUUCCUUGUCGGGUAAGUUCCGACCUGCACGAAUGGCGUAAUGAUGGCCAGGCUGUCUCCACCCGAGACUCAGUGAAAUUGAACUCGCUGUGAAGAUGCAGUGUACCCGCGGCAAGACGGAAAGACCCCGUGAACCUUUACUAUAGCUUGACACUGAACAUUGAGCCUUGAUGUGUAGGAUAGGUGGGAGGCUUUGAAGUGUGGACGCCAGUCUGCAUGGAGCCGACCUUGAAAUACCACCCUUUAAUGUUUGAUGUUCUAACGUGGGCCCCUUACCGGGGUUGCGGACAGUGUCUGGUGGGUAGUUUGACUGGGGCGGUCUCCUCCUAAAGAGUAACGGAGGAGCACGAAGGUUGGCUAAUCCUGGUCGGACAUCAGGAGGUUAGUGCAAUGGCAUAAGCCAGCUUGACUGCGAGCGUGACGGCGCGAGCAGGUGCGAAAGCAGGUCAUAGUGAUCCGGUGGUUCUGAAUGGAAGGGCCAUCGCUCAACGGAUAAAAGGUACUCCGGGGAUAACAGGCUGAUACCGCCCAAGAGUUCAUAUCGACGGCGGUGUUUGGCACCUCGAUGUCGGCUCAUCACAUCCUGGGGCUGAAGUAGGUCCCAAGGGUAUGGCUGUUCGCCAUUUAAAGUGGUACGCGAGCUGGGUUUAGAACGUCGUGAGACAGUUCGGUCCCUAUCUGCCGUGGGCGCUGGAGAACUGAGGGGGGCUGCUCCUAGUACGAGAGGACCGGAGUGGACGCAUCACUGGUGUUCGGGUUGUCAUGCCAAUGGCACUGCCCGGUA
rnacentral:rRNA from 1 species